UGGGGAAUUUUGGACAAUGGGCGAAAGCCUGAUCCAGCAAUGCCGCGUGAGUGAAGAAGGCCUUCGGGUUGUAAAGCUCUUUUGUCAGGGAAGAAACGGUGGACUCUAAUACAGAUCACUAAUGACGGUACCUGAAGAAUAAGCACCGGCUAACUACGUGCCAGCAGCCGCGGUAAUACGUAGGGUGCAAGCGUUAAUCGGUAUUACUGGGCGUAAAGCGUGCGCAGGCGGUUUGGUAAGACAGAUGUGAAAUCCCCGGGCUCAACCUGGGAAUUGCAUUUGUGACUGCCCGGCUAGAGUGUGUCAGAGGGGGGUAGAAUUCCACGUGUAGCAGUGAAAUGCGUAGAGAUGUGGAGGAAUACCGAUGGCGAAGGCAGCCCCCUGGGAUAACACUGACGCUCAUGCACGAAAGCGUGGGGAGCAAACAGGAUUAGAUACCCUGGUAGUCCACGCCCUAAACGAUGUCUACUAGUUGUCGGGACUUAAUUGUCUUGGUAACGCAGCUAACGCGUGAAGUAGACCGCCUGGGGAGUACGGUCGCAAGAUUAA
rnacentral:rRNA from 1 species